rnacentral:rRNA from 1 species
UCUUCCCUCUGGCGGCGUGCCUAAUACAUGCAAGUCGAGCGAACAGACGAGGAUCUUGCUCCUCUGACGUUAGCGGCGCAGGUGAGAGAAACACGUGUAUAACCUACCUAUAAUACUGGUAUAUCUUCGGGAAUCCGGAUCUAAUACCGGAUAAUAUAUUGAACCGCAUUGUUGGAUGGUGAAAGACGGCGGUGCUGGCACGUAUAGAUGGAUCCGCGCCGCAUGAGCUAGUUGGUAAGGUAACGGCUUACCAAGGCAACGAGGCGUAGCCGACCUGAGAGGGUGAUCGCCCACACUGGAAGUGGGACACGGUCCAGGCUCCUACGGGAGGCAGCAGUCGGCAAUGUGACGCAGCGGGCGAGAGCAUGGCAGAGCAGGGCCGAGUGAGAGGUGACGGUGUUCGGAUCGUAAAGAUCUGUUAUGAGUGAAGAACAACUGUGUAAGUAACCAUGGACGGCGUGACGGUACCGGAUAAGAAAGCCACGGCUAACUACGUG